rnacentral:ncRNA from 2 species
AUUUAUUACGGUGAUGGAGUCCACCGAAGAGUGCCUCAAAGGCUGAUGACUCCUACCAAGGU